rnacentral:rRNA from 1 species
GAUGAACGCUGGCGGCGUGCCUAAUACAUGCAAGUCGAGCGAACGGACGAGAAGCUUGCUUCUCUGAUGUUAGCGGCGGACGGGUGAGUAACACGUGGAUAACCUACCUAUAAGACUGGGAUAACUUCGGGAAACCGUAGCUAAUACCGGAUAAUAUUUUGAACCGCAUGGUUCAAAAGUGAAAGACGGUCUUGCUGUCACUUAUAGAUGGAUCCGCGCUGCAUUAGCUAGUUGGUAGGGUAACGGCUUACCAAGGCAACGAUGCAUAGCCGACCCGAGAGGGGGUACGCCACCACUGGAACUGACCCGCGGCACAGACUCUGAGGGAAGGCAGAAGUAGGGACGCUACGGAACUGGGGGAAAGCUUGCAGGAGAAACGCAGGGUGAGUGAUGAAGCGCUGCGGACGGGAAAACGGUGUUAUGGGGGAAGACCAUAUGUGUAAGUAACGGUGCAAAUGUGGCGGUAACGGAUUAAGAAGGCCCGGCUAACUUCGGG